rnacentral:rRNA from 3 species
GAUUUACAUUUGAGUGAGUGGCGAACUGGUGAGUAACACGUGGGAAACCUGCCCAGAAGCGGGGGAUAACACCUGGAAACAGAUGCUAAUACCGCAUAACAACUUGGACCGCAUGGUCCGAGUUUGAAAGAUGGCUUCGGCUAUCACUUUUGGAUGGUCCCGCGGCGUAUUAGCUAGAUGGUGGGGUAACGGCUCACCAUGGCAAUGAUACGUAGCCGACCUGAGAGGGUAAUCGGCCACAUUGGGACUGAGACACGGCCCAAACUCCUACGGGAGGCAGCAGUAGGGAAUCUUCCACAAUGGACGAAAGUCUGAUGGAGCAACGCCGCGUGAGUGAAGAAGGGUUUCGGCUCGUAAAACUCUGUUGUUAAAGAAGAACAUAUCUGAGAGUAACUGUUCAGGUAUUGACGGUAUUUAACCAGAAAGCCACGGCUAACUACGUGCCAGCAGCCGCGGUAAUACGUAGGUGGCAAGCGUUGUCCGGAUUUAUUGGGCGUAAAGCGAGCGCAGGCGGUUUUUUAAGUCUGAUGUGAAAGCCUUCGGCUCAACCGAAGAAGUGCAUCGGAAACUGGGAAACUUGAGUGCAGAAGAGGACAGUGGAACUCCAUGUGUAGCGGUGAAAUGCGUAGAUAUAUGGAAGAACACCAGUGGCGAAGGCGGCUGUCUGGUCUGUAACUGACGCUGAGGCUCGAAAGUAUGGGUAGCAAACAGGAUUAGAUACCCUGGUAGUCCAUACCGUAAACGAUGAAUGCUAAGUGUUGGAGGGUUUCCGCCCUUCAGUGCUGCAGCUAACGCAUUAAGCAUUCCGCCUGGGGAGUACGGCCGCAAGGCUGAAACUCAAAGGAAUUGACGGGGGCCCGCACAAGCGGUGGAGCAUGUGGUUUAAUUCGAAGCUACGCGAAGAACCUUACCAGGUCUUGACAUACUAUGCAAAUCUAAGAGAUUAGACGUUCCCUUCGGGGACAUGGAUACAGGUGGUGCAUGGUUGUCGUCAGCUCGUGUCGUGAGAUGUUGGGUUAAGUCCCGCAACGAGCGCAACCCUUAUUAUCAGUUGCCAGCAUUAAGUUGGGCACUCUGGUGAGACUGCCGGUGACAAACCGGAGGAAGGUGGGGAUGACGUCAAAUCAUCAUGCCCCUUAUGACCUGGGCUACACACGUGCUACAAUGGAUGGUACAACGAGUUGCGAACUCGCGAGAGUAAGCUAAUCUCUUAAAGCCAUUCUCAGUUCGGAUUGUAGGCUGCAACUCGCCUACAUGAAGUCGGAAUCGCUAGUAAUCGCGGAUCAGCAUGCCGCGGUGAAUACGUUCCCGGGCCUUGUACACACCGCCCGUCACACCAUGAGAGU